rnacentral:misc_RNA from 1 species
UGGUGGUGGUGGUAGUGGUGGUGGCAAUCAAUCACGUGACGGUAAUAAGGAGUUACUAGCUGUUUGGAAAGCAAUGAAAUAGCAUCGAAAUUCUAUAAAAGAAAUUAUGCAAAAAUUGUAAGAGAUUCGCUGCUUAUUAAGAGUUCGUAAUAUUGAGAAGAGAAAUAAUAAAUUGAAUCAAACUGGGGCAGUUAACCACAAUAUACUCAAUUAUGAUUUUGUUCUUUUUUAAUUCUAAAAGAAUACCUGUUACUAAUGAUGAAUACAGAAGAAAUGGUGUUCAAAAAUUGUGUACUUCAACAGAAAAAAAGAAUAUAGAGGUGGAAGCAAAUCUUAUUGAGUUAUCAAAGAAUGUUAAAGAUUUAGAAUAAAAAAAAAAAAGAGAUCAACCUGCAUCAGAAAAAUAACUCGAAACUGAAGAUUCUAAGCGUAAAGGAUUUGAAAUUGAAGAAUCUAAAACUUUAGUUGUAUUGCCUUUUGCUAAGGUGGAUGAUAAUGAGUUCGAACUAGAAUUUCUUGAACCAUCUACUCUAGAGGAAGAAGUUGAAAUUCACAAGGAAGAGCAAUGAGAGUUGGAGAUGUCAAUGGAGCUUAAAGAACAACCAACCAUGGAUGAGUUGAUGGAGAUUAACAAUUUAUCUAAACCUUCAAUUUUUAUUGUCUUGGUUGAUUUUAUUUGUCCAGAUGUUCCAAUGGAUGCAAAGGAUAAUGUGAAAUCCUUCAAUUCAAUUUUGUUCAAGUCAACUCUAUUAAUAUCAUUCAGGGAGACAUGGUGUGAUUUUUCAAUGAAGUUUUUUUAUUCUUCAACACUUUAAA